CCACACUCGUGCCGCCCCCUUUCAUCUUCCUCCUGCCUCACCUCUCUCUCCCCCUCGACCCGCGCCCGCGACCCUCGUCCUGCCGCCGCCGCUGCCGGGACCCUCGUUCCUCUUCUCGCCGUCGCCUCCGCCGCCGAGCAGUGAGCGAGAGUAGCGAGAGGAACAACGAGCCAGCGUGCAGCCAGCCUUUCAUGGCCUCCGCCCUCUCUCUCUUCCCCACCCCUCUCCCCUCACCACAAGACAAGAGAGGCAGGGAGAUCGACCAAGCAGAUCAGGCGGCGACCGGCCAUGGGACGGGAGGGCGCCCAGAUCCAUCCGCCCCGAUCCGGCCAUGGGACUAGACUCAAAAUCGAGAGCAAGCCGCCGUGUGUCUCCUUCCUUCUGCUUGAUGGGGCCAUGCCUAGGAGGAAGGAAGGAUGAGAAAGGAAGAGGCUGCCGGUGCGCGAGGUACGACGUUGGACUCGACGGGGAUGGCUGCUCCUCCCAAGGAACUGUAUCACAACGGAUCAUUGGCAUUGUAGCUUCAGUGGACAUGUAUGCUGAAUAUCCCCUCAGUGGACAAGAUUAGAUUUUAGUGUAUACAAGCCCUCCUCUCAGCUGCUCAGGCAUAAACACCUUACUGCAAAUGUUCUUCGUGUCUCGCCUCCUCGUCGUGAUGGGUGGCUCCUAUAGCUUCGCCAUGCCAACCAUCUCCACGAGGUUGCUGUGCUUCUGGAUGAGAGGGAUAGCCAUGAGGCAAGGAGCAGCAAGGUCUCAUUUUCUUCCCCAGUUUUUACUCCUCGAUUUAUGGUUUUUCUAAACACAUGUGUGCAGGUCUGAGAGAAAAGGAGAAGGGGAUGAAUCUUGAGGAAGUGCUUGGUGAAUAAAAAGAUGAUGUUCCUGAUGGCAAUGUUGGUAAUUAAUGAUGAAAAAGAAGGAAGUGAGAUUGGAUUUGUACUAGAACAACGCCUCCCCAAGAUCUGGACCGGAUGCCAUCGCGUGGCGUGAUUCCGGAUCGGGAUCAGAUUGCCGCCAUAUUUAUCUCUCUGUUUUCAGAGCCCCUCCCUAUUGCUAUCUCCCGCCUGAGUUUGCGUCACUGUUAUGCAUUGUCUCUCCGUUCACGCCUACUCUUGACAGGAGCAGCACAGGCUGCCACACAACACGCUUACUUGGGACGGACUGCAGGUGCCCUCUAAUAUGGGUAGUGAGGAGUUCAAUUUUUCUAUACAAUCUCUAGGAGUUUAAUUAGGUAGCCUCUAAUAUGGGCUCUUGUGAAGGAAAUAUGCCCUAGAGGCAAUAAUAAAGUUGUUGUUUAUAUUUCCUUAUAUCAUGAUAAAUGUUUAUUAUUCCUACUAGAA